GCGCCCGUAGCUCAACGGACAGAGCAACCGGUUUCUACCCGGUCGGUUGGGGGUUCGAGUCCCUCCGGGCGCA
rnacentral:tRNA from 1 species